CGCCUACCAAGCGUCCCACCCUAACGGCUCACUGACGCGCGCACGUCGGCCGCGCCCGCGCCGUGCCCAGAUCUCGCGAGACUCGCUUCCUCGGCCAUCUCAGAACGGCAUCCGCCUGAGGCGUUCAAGCCUAUGUCUCCCAGCAGCUGCCGGGUGGUGUCCGCGGGCCGCCUUGCGUGCGAGCCGGACCCAAACUAGCCGGAUGUGCUGGAGGGUUGGCCCACGUCGGAACCCUGCUAAACUCCAAGACACUAAAGCCAGCUCCACACCUUGCGUUUUAGCAGAUCCUGCUUAAGGAGCUGAACGAAGGAUGGUCAACUCCGUGACAAAGGUGGUGUGAGACAGUAGCCAUAGAAAUCCCACUCCUAGAAGGUAGAACCCAGUGAACGAGGUGGAAGCACAAAGAGCUGAUGAGGGGAGUUCAGAUGGCUGUUGGAGCAGCAGUGACAGGAGUAUGAUCUGCUGAAAGACAAAUACCACACCUCCAUCAAAACCAUUCUUCCAUGUAUAAGAGCCUUUUCAGACACAGAAAAAACACAGGACCAUUGGAAGAGCACAUUCCAGAUCUCUCAUCUGACGUGGAGGCCAAGACCAGAGAGUGAUAUGGAACCGGAUAGAGUGAGAGGAGCAGCACUGAAACUGGGACUGUCACGCGAACGACAGCUGGCCGCCUGGCCCAUGGAGUCAAAGAUCAAGGGCUGAGACCACAUGGCUGAGGCCCUGAAGGCCAGAGAGACGUGACUGCUGACAAGGAGAGGUGUGGCUACGAACCAACAACUGUCCUUACAGUUUGCUACCCUGACGUGUGGUAACUUAUUAACUUCCCUAGUAACCCUUCAUUGUGAACAUUGUGAGUUCUGUGUGGCCACUGUAUGAACUCUCGACCCAUAUAGAAGUAGAGUGCACAGGAGGAGGAAUGGCUGAUGUCAGAAUAAAGUAAGAAAAAUGAUGGAGGGUGAAGGCAUGUUGCCUCCUGGCAACAGGGAAGCCAGGAGAGGUCAGAUACAGCACCCACUCCGUUUACUCUUAAUAGGUCUACAGCGUGGAGCAGGGAGUUCUCAGCACUUUUAUGAUCGGUGAAGCCUUGGAAGUGGAGUGAUCCCCCGGGAAAUCCUGUGAGUGUGAGCCACCGAGGGAGGUCGGAAUCCCCAUUCUACAGGAGAGAGAGCAAGCCCAAGGCCAGCGAGCCUGCCCAAGACGACACGGCUGUUCAGCGGGAGCUGGGCUCAGGCCAGGCAGUAUGACUCCAGAGCCGUGUUACUUUUUACCAUGAAGAAACCAACCUGCCCGAAUCCUUUUUCGCUUUCUUGAUUCUUACCAAAGUGUAAACCAUUUUCAGACAAUAUACGCAAGCACAUGAAAUAGAGCAAGGAAUGGGAAAUCGUGCUAAGCAUUCCUACCUGUUAAAUAAAUGCGUGUUUGACCUCUUA